rnacentral:lncRNA from 1 species
AUGCAUUUGGAAUCAUAUCAGAUGGAAAAAAGGAUCACAUGAUGCUAGCUGGUGCAGUUGGUGAUUUUACAAAAUCAUUAGUUUCUUCACCUCCUAAACAUCUUUGGAUUCGUUCAGUUCAUUUUGCUGGAUUACCUUAUCUAGUGAAUUUGUAUCAAAAAGUGCUUUUAGUAGCAACAGGUUCUGGGAUUUGUGUGUUCUUAUCAUUUCUGUUGCAGAAAAAUAAGGCUGAUGUGUGCUUGAUUUGGGUGGCUAAAGAUAUUGAAAUGAACUUUGGAAAAGAGAUAAAGGAAUUGGUGGAGAAAUAUUCCGAGGACAAAAUCAUUGUUCAUGAUACUGCUGUUUCUGGUCGUCCUAAUGUGGCUGAGAUGAGUGUGAAUGCUGCUAUUAAUUGGAAUGUUGAAGUUGUUAUUGUCACAAGUAAUCCUGAAGGUAGUAGAGAUGUUGUUAGAGCUUGUAACAAGGCUAAGAUUCCUGCAUUUGGUCCAAUUUGGGACUCUUGAAUGGCUCAAAAUUACACAAAAUUUUAAGGCAAGUAAUUUGUUACUCCUUCUCUGUUUGCUUGAAACACUGUAAAAAUUUAUUUAGUUACUUUUGUUUACCUAUAGUAGAAACUUAUAGUAGUAGUAGUAGUAGUAACUAGUUUUGUAACACUGGUUCAUUGAGAGUUCCAAGUGUUAAUUAAAUAAAGAAGAGCAUAAUGACUAGUAUCAAAACACAAUUUUCUUAUUGGUAAUUUAAUAGAAUAGAUAAAUUACAGCUUUUAUUCUUUCCUCUUCCCUCCAAGUUGAUUCAUUCUCUCUUUAAAAUAAGCUAUAAAUGACGAUCAUGAAAAUUCUUUGGUAAAAUAUUGCAGCACGUCAAGUUUAUUGGUGUGCCACCUUACCAUGACCACUGAAAAAUCUUUUAUUUUUAACCUCUGAAAAAGAAGCUAUUCUCUAUUUCUCUUCCAUACGGAGUUCUUCCCUAAGUGCGGUGAUGCAAUUUUUUAUCACCAUUUGAUCUUCAAAAAGUUUGUUAAGGUUAUAAGAAACAACAUAACGAUGAUCACUGAGAAAAUUCAGACGAGUUCGAGAAAUAUGAUAAUACUCUCGACUAUUGUCAAGAGAAUCGAAAGGAGCAGAUAUGCUAGAAAUUUCAACCUCCAAGUUAUCUGACAUGAUCUGAGCAGAAACCAGAAGCCCUCGCUGGGAAGCAUCAAGAAAUGACUCUAACUUCUCAAUCUCGUCAACAAUACAAGUGAAGUCAUGAAAAAGAUAAAUGUUAUCCAUGACAUUGCUUAGAUCAUGACUUAAUAGGACUUUUUACUUCUUCGGAAAACUUCCCGAGCCUUUGAGUUUGGUGGAGAAGAGAAGGAAGAAACUUCAAAUAUAUGCGAGAUAGUCAUAAUUAUAAACAUAGAUAACUAAAAAACGAACUGUCAUUAUGGACACAUUGCGCAGAGGGAGUAAACCUUGGAAGGGGUGCAAUCGCUUUGAUACGCGCAUUGGUACCAUUCGAAGUAGUUACAGAGGAUAAACGUAAUCAUAACAUAAUCCAAACGUUUCAAAUCUUUGCGAAGUUAACAAUAACUUCUUGGUUUGCUCGAAUACGUUUCGUUUCUUAUAUUUAUUCUGAUCUAAAAGGUCAAUUUCAAAAAUCAUUUGAAAAGUAACAUUUAGGGGCACCAGUUACACACAAAUGUUUUCGAGUGAGUUAGGCUCAUCUUCCUUAAAGACCAAAAAGAAAUGAUUUUGUUGUCGGAGCUCGAAAGUCGUUAUUUCAAAUACCAAUGUCAAGAAGUUCAAAGACAUAAUCCAGGGACAUAACUUCUUAAAACUUCCAUAUCCAAGUGUGUCAAAGACGUCUUUUUAGUAAGCAGUCGAUGGUUCCUUAACAUUCAAAAUUCAAAGUACACGAAGAAAACUUGCAGAAGAGACUCCAAAGGAAGUUAGAAUACAUUGACACCCGUGCAUUGUAUGAGUUAGUAGUUUCUUAGUUUUUUCUAUAAAUAGUAGAGUCAAACUCCAUACAAAAAAGUUCAUUUAAUUUAUGUUCCAAAAACUUGCCUACUAAAUAACAUAUCUGCCUCACAGAAUAAUAUGCAUCUUAAUGAUUAUUGAAUGAACUAUGUAUGUAACUCACAUAUAUAAUAAUACAAUUUUCAUAUUAUUUAUUAUUUUCUACAUCGAAAAUACAUUUCUUGUACAACAAACUUCGACUUGUGAUCUUAAACUUAUCAACUAAGAGCCCCUAAAGGAUCUUUAACUUGAAUCCUAGAUUGAUAUUUCGAGUUCAUUCCUUGAAAGGAAAGUUUUUCAAACCACCACAUCUCAUCUUAAUUAUUCUUGCUAUAUAUUCCUCCAACCUUACUAGAAGCAAACUAACUAUAUUUGUUAAGAGUUUCGCAUUGGAUGAGGUAUGACAUAACAAUAUAUUUAUAAGAGCAUAUCAAAGCUUCGGUGAGCCACAUGCUAUCAGGUGGUCACCACUAUUGGGCCACUUGGAUCACACUUAUGUUCAAUCUUGAGCGUUAGAUGGAGUGUGAGUCUCAUAUUGACUGAGAUGUGACGUAACAAAUUUCCUUAGGGCAUUGUUUAAGAAACAAAAAAGACAAAUUUUGAAAAACGGUGUAAUUACUGCUUUGCAAGGAUUUAACUUAUAUUUUCAAGAUAAAGUUUCCUUUUAUGAGUUCUUAAAUGAUGCAUUGUUAAAAAAAAUUAAUUGUAUAAUUAUUUAUUUCAAAGUUUUUUUUUACAAGAGAAAACUAAUGCGUUACUUUGAAAAUGAAAGGGGGUUGUCAAAAUAAAGCUGAGAACUAACAUUGUAUAGGUACACUUUAGCAUGUUAUGAACAAUGAUCAUACUAGUCUCUCUUCUAGAAAACUCGACAUGAGAGUUGGUACAAAACGAUUAUAAAGUAUUAUGUCAUCUACUUAAAAUAUAAUCUACCUUGCGUCCACAAAGCCUUUACUUCCAUAAACAUCUCAUACUUGUCGCUUAAGCAAAUCUCAAUUCUAUCUUAUUUUGUGAAUUGGUUCGCACAAAUUUUCGUUGAAUUCCUAAAAAGGUUGAUUAGAAGAUAAAAGAGAAAGGAAAAUCUUUGGUGGAGGAAAUAAAUUUUGCAGAAAAGUCUAUUUGAAGUUUAGAGAAAGAGAAAACCUCUUACAAAAUAUUAGUGAUAAUAAAGAGAGAGAAAAAAAAAGUGAAUAAACAAAGGUUUUGGGAAGUGGACAUUAGUUAAUGGGUUAAAUAUAAUUUUAGUCCUACAAAAUUACAAUUUUGUAAGUUUAGUCCCUACAAAAAAAUUAUUCACUUUUAGUCCCUAUUUUCAUUUUAUAUGGACUAUUUUGGAGGAAUAAAAAUAUCCAUUUUUUAAAAAUGUUUUUAAAAUAGGAACUAUUAUUACAAAUUACAAUAUUUUAGAGGACUAAAAUUACCAUUAAAAUUUUAUAGGGAUUAAACCUAGAAAUUCGUGAUUUUGUAUGGAUUAAAAACAUAUUUAACCCUUACUUAAUUGCAUUUGGCUUUAUCAAUCCUUCUACAUUUUUGUACUAUAAUCAAUUAAAUAUUAGUCCCUCUGUCCCAAAUUAUAUGUCGUUUUGGAAUUCCUUUUGUCUCAAAUUAUAAAUCGUUUUACAAUACCAAUGAAACAUUAAUGUUAUUUUUUCUAUUAUAUCCUUAACUAUUUAUCAUUAUAUAUUUUUUCAAUUCUUUAAUUUAUCUCUCUCAUAACAUUUAUAACUAUAGACAAUUUUGUAAAACAACUCAUAAUAUCUCUUUUUCAUACAAAAUUAAUUACAUUUCAUAAUACAUGUCAAACGUCAUAUAAUUUGUGAGGAAUGAAGUAAAAGAUUUUAAGGACUAGAACAGAGAAAUUGUUGUGCUGUUAGAAAGAGUCAUAGUGAGACGUAAAUAUUUAGUGGAUUACUAAUAAAAUUUCAUGUUCUGUUUAGAUUUUUUAAUUGAAGGAUUAUACGUACUCAUAUCUUUAUUAUAUCGAUCUAUUUCUCUUUUGACUCAUGACUGAGUCAUAUAUAGCUGCCUAAACGUGUUAUUUUGAUUCCUAUUUAAACGUUAGAGUUUGUACAUUACUUGUUAAUGAAUCCUUCUUAACAUGUUUUGUCUGUCGAUGAGUAAGGGAAACGAUAGGCACAAUGGUUUGAUCAUUCCAAAGACAAAGAAUGCCACAGAUACUGUUCGGUUAUCAUCUUUUUCCUUUCAGUUAAUUUCGGCUUGCAUGUGUUCGGCUGAUCCUCUUUAGAGCACCUCCAGGGUGUCUCAUAAUCAGCAAGGAACGUAACUUUGAACAUCUUUGAGCAUGUAAUAACUUUUUUUUUUUUCUUUCUAAUUCUCUAGAUUUUAAAGAAAAAUGGUCUGAUAAUCUGGAGUUCAGCAAGAGAUAAAUAAAAUCGGAUUAAUAAUUAUUUCACAUGAAAACUAAGUUAAUAUUUGUUUUUUUGGUGGAUCUUAUUAAUCACUUUAGACUGAUUGUUUUGUUGAGAUUAUUGUUCUUUGUUUUGUUGCACCUUUAAAUUCGGUUAUUAUGAUUAGGUUUAGGGUAUGGUUUGUUGUGUAUGCACCUUUAAAUUUUAAAUACACUCAUUCAAUACAUCAUUUCUAUCUUCAAAAAACAAAGCGCAUCAUUUUAUUUUGUAAAAAAAAAAAAGCAUAUCAUUUAUCUCUAUUUUCUCUCUUUUUAUUACCUCAUCGACUUUUAUUUGUUGUUUUAAGGUGUAUACAACAGUAAGGGUUGUACACAAACAUUUUCCACAGAAUAAUGCUUGUAGUUUCUCAUUUUAUAAUAGAUUUUUUUCCUUUUGCUUCAUUAUUUUUUUAAAUAAAUUAUAAAGAUAUCAAUUGCAUUUGAGCAUCUAAAAAGUUGUUCCACAAACCUUGUUACUUUUCGUGCGGUAUAGCAAGAAGUGAUUGUUGUAGUAUUAGCUUUGAAUAUUGGGUAACUAAAUUGUAUGGGCAAAAUACUCUUAAGCUUAGUGCAUUUGUACGCCUGAGCCAAAAUGCGAUAAGUUGUCUUAUUCCCUAAUUCAUUUUAUUAUCGCGAUACUGGUACGAAGUUUCAACCGCCACUUAAUAGUGACUAAUUUUCGUCAAAGAACAUGUAGGCAUAUAUAAGGUGGGUUCUCCCCUCCCGACCAAAUUUUUUUCCAUAUGCAUAGGUCAGGAAUUGAACCUCUAACCACAUACUUAAGUGGUUCAAAUCAUUAUUGACGCAUGAGUCAUGUUUAUUUGUGCUAAUAUUUCUCUUUCGAUAGUUUAUUUGAGAUAAUUCAAUAUUAAUUUUUCCAACAAACAUAACCGUAAUUUGAGCUAAACUUAAACCCAAAUUCAGAAAAUAUUCAUGACAAGAAUAAUAUGUCAUUUCAAAUCUUAUGGUCAAAAGAAAUUCAUUGUAGCAAGUUAAUGUAAUUUUCCAUUCCGAGAGGCAACGACUGUUAAUAACAGACAGUUCUAAAUUGUGAACUGUAUAAAGUAUAUUCCCCUUAAUAUAGCAACGAAUAUAACAGAUACAAUGGUUUUACUUUGGAGUAUGCUCCUUAUUAAAUUGAUUUUACAUUACUCAUUUAGUAUCUUUUACAGUUAAUAGAAACUAGAAUGAUAUAAUAAUAAUAAUAAAAAAAAAUUUGUACGUAUGAUAUCUGCUAUAUAUAUGAGCAUCUUGGAUUUCUACUACAUAUAAGCAUCAUUGUAAUACGAAAUAACCUACAAAUCAUUAAUUAUAACAUUGAAACUCAAAGACUAUACUAUCAAAUUCACAAUGGAAGAAACCAAAGAAAUGAAGAUAGCAAGGUCUUCAAAGUUUUCAAGUUGCCGCGGUGUUUCCUUCGAGAUCAAUCCUAACAAAAGCAGCCCUUUUGCAAUUGAAUCAACAACAAAGACAGAGAAAGCAGGAACAUGGCUUUGGAUUCCUCCAUGGACAAGAAACAAUUCUCAAGCUAUUAGUUCAACUAGGACUCAAAGUCGAGCUAGUAGUCACUUCUGUGACAUCAACAUUGAUGCUGACGAUGAUGAGUAUGAAUUUCUAGCUCAAGUUCAGGACAUGGAAAAUAACCAAGAGAAAGUUGAGGUACUACCAAAGUCUGACAUACCAACAAAAAAUUCGAGGUUGUCGAUUAUUCUGCUGGAUCAAGGUUGCACAGUGUACAAAGGACUGUUCUUGGUUUGCAUAACCUUGAAUAUGUUAGCACUUGCUCUUUCAGUUUUAGGGCAUUUUCCAUAUGGUAAAUCAAGAGCUACACUUUUCUCCAUUGGUAACAUCCUAGCUUUAACACUAUGUCGAAGCGAGGUGGUUUUAAGACUUCUUUACUGGUUUGUUGUCAAAACUAUAGGGAAACCUUGUGUUUCUCUUAGAAUCAAAACAGCAAUAACUUCAUUCCUUCAAUGUAUUGGAGGAAUUCAUAGUGGCUGCGGUGUUUCUUCAAUAGCAUGGCUAGUAUAUUCUCUCGUUCUCACGAUCACAAACAACGAUGAAAACACUUCUCCAGAGAUUCUCGGCGUUGCAUUCGCCAUUCUCUCGCUCCUUACACUCACUUCGCUCUCAGCUUUUCCUUUUAUUCGUCAUCUUCACCACAACGUUUUUGAGCGAAUCCACCGUUUUGCCGGUUGGUUAGCUCUUAUCCUUCUAUGGUUUUUCAUUCUUUUAACAGUAAGUUGUGAGCCUAGUUCAAAAACCUAUCACAUAACCAUUUCAAAGAUGAUUAAGAAACAAGAGUGUUGGUUCACUUUAGCUAUCACAAUUCUCAUUAUGAUUCCUUGGUUAAGUAUUAAAAAAGUACAAGUUAGUGUCACAGCACCAUCAAAUCAUGCUUCAAUUAUUAAAUUUGAAGGUGGUGUUAAAGCAGGUUUAUUAGGUAGAAUAAGUCCAUCACCAUUAUCAGAAUGGCAUGCAUUUGGAAUCAUAUCAGAUGGAAAAAAGGAUCACAUGAUGCUAGCUGGUGCAGUUGGUGAUUUUACAAAAUCAUUAGUUUCUUCACCUCCUAAACAUCUUUGGAUUCGUUCAGUUCAUUUUGCUGGAUUACCUUAUCUAGUGAAUUUGUAUCAAAAAGUGCUUUUAGUAGCAACAGGUUCUGGAAUUUGUGUGUUCCUAUCAUAUCUCUUGCAGAAAAGUAAGGCUGAUG